CUGUCCAGAAGCUCAGAUGAAAUGGAUUCAACUCAUGUUAAAUAUGGGAAAGAAAAGAAAGCUAGAGCAUGAGAGGGACUAGCUCAUGCUUGGAUGCCUCCAGAGAUCAGAGGCCUUCCUUCACAGGCCUGGAGAACAAAGUCUGAAUCACAAAGAUUUUUUCCCAUUAUGUUCACCAAAAAUGAGAUUUGACAUCUACAGAAACCAUUCACGAAAAUGAGAUGAGCGUGACAAAUCAGUGGCUAAGACAUAUCAGGGCAAAGGCGUUAAAAUCUUUAAAAGAAAAUGAAAACUUCAUUUUUGCUAAUAACCUAGCCAAUUUUUCAUUUAUUUUUGUAAUGUCAGUUUCUGUUUUGAUUUGGUUUGAACUAAAUUUCUCUUUUAACAUUUUUUUGGUUCAGUCCCAGACUACAAACUCUAUUAUUUGCUGAGCUCUACAGAAUGUAGUUUAAAAGGAGAAUAUAAGUGAGUUAUGGGCCUGUUGUUCCAGAAAAAAUUACAUUCAGAGUCACUGCAAUAUUUCAGUUGGAUAACGUCAAAUCUGCUGUAUAAAAGUGAAAUAUGUAUAGGUAUAUAAUACUAAAAAUAUAAUCUAGAAGUUUAAGUGAAACAAUGGAAAAACUGUUGAAAAGCAAAUUUUUUCUGUAAUAAAAUAAAUUUAUUAACACAAAAAGAAAAGAAGUGUUAGUACCAUUAAUUUUUAUUGUCUUCCACUGUAAGCUGUCGGAACUUAUAUAACUCCCAAAUGUUUCAUACUCGAUAAAAGCACCAUUUUGUGAUGGAAGAGUGAUUUUUUUUCUUUUUCUUGAAUGCCAUUGAAUACCUGCAACUGCAUAAAGCUGAUCAUCUGUGAUCUGUGAAAGUCUUGUCAGCAUUAAAAAAAUAUUAAGGAAGAACUUUUUUUUGGUGCAUCCUAGAACGGAAGUGGAAAUAAAUGCAUACGAAUAUUUUACCAUGACAGAGAUCAUCAGUGAAAGUAAGAGGGAGCUGUAAAAAGAAACAGGCUCUGAAGCAAAUCACUUGGAGUUAGUAGAGCUGAGUGCCUUAGUGUGUGCCUGGAAGAUUUAUGGUCCUUUGCAGCCUUUGUUUCAUUGAGGACACAAGCUGUGUUUCUCCUCCCACCUCCAGGGAAACUGGUAGGAACUGAAGAAUUAGGUGCCCACCUAUACAAGAAAGUGCUACAUCCAGUACCAGGCUCCAGUCCAGGACAAAGAGAGUAGGAGAAAUCAAGAUUUGGAACUGAGGAAGUUGGCUGGAGGACUAUGCUCUGUAGGAAGAGCAGACAUGGGUUCUGCACCACAACUUAGCCUGCAUGUUGUGGAAAUGUGAAUGAAAGCCACUGAGAGCUCCAGUGUUUUGUCAAAUUUAACUGAAAUCAUCCAACAGUUUCAUAAGCUGCUGGAUAGGACAAGAAUGGGCUGGUGGUUGCAUAAACAGACAGAUAUAAAUGCACGCACACAUUAAACACAAGCUGAACCUAAAAUUGGGAGGAACUUCAUGAUUUUUUUAAUCUUAUUUGCACACUUGCUACAAUGACUGUCAUAAUCAUUGACUGUAAACUGUCCUAAUAAACUUACUGAAGCAUUAUAAGUCUUGAGAUAUAAAGUUACAAUGUGGAAAUAUCAUCCAUCUUCCCUCUAUCUUUUUUUAGGAAAACAGUUGGAGAUGACAAAUGCUCUGAGCUCUGCAUCCCACAAUCACCCAGCAAGCCUAACCAUUGGUAUUAGUCAUUCAGUAUUUGGUGAACCAGAGAAAUGCAAAAAUAUGUAGCCUUGGGAUCUUAAUCCUUCAAGCAGUGCUUUGUCUUCUCUUCAUGGAAUACAUGGCACACAGAUGCUACCAAUGACAACUGAAAUUAACUCAGGCUCUUUCUAAUCUGGAACCAUCAUCUUUAAGGAGUGCACUGAAGAGAACUCCCGAUGUGAAUGGGCAGAACUUGAAUUUCUCUUUGUUGAUACCAUGGGGAUGACUUCAUUAACUAAAGCUGGAAAGCUCUGGCAUGAGUGGCCAAGAAUCACAGUUGAUGCAGAAACAUCAAUAAAGUUCUUUGGUAAAAGCCUGUCUCUUCAUCAGCCUCUGUAGAGUGUUGUUAUUGAGGUGGUAGAGAUAAAUAAAAUUCAGUAAUGACUUCAGAAAGAAUUAAUGGAAAAAAACCUUACUGGAAAACAUUUUUUAAAUUGCAUUUGUCACUGAUGUGUACAAAAAUAGAUCUAUGAGUCUACAGAAACAAAUGUACAUACAAAGAAAUUUUGAGGUGUGGUUCACAUACAGGAAAGUAGUCACUGUACACAACUCCAAAACUGAUCAUUGCAGAUAGAAAUCCUCAAACAUGAAAAGG
ensembl:lncRNA